rnacentral:misc_RNA from 1 species
GAUGAAGAACGCAGUGAAAUGCGAUAAGUAGUGUGAAUUGCAGAAUUCAGUGAAUCAUCGAAUCUUUGAACGCACAUUGCGCCCCUUGGUAUUCCAUGGAGCAUGCCUGUUCGAGCGUCAUUUGUACCUUCAAGCUUUGCUUGGUGUUGGGUGUUUGUCCUGAGGGACUCGCCUUAAAGUAAUUGGCAGCCAGUGUUUGGUUUUGAAGCGCAGCACAAGUCGCGAUUCAAGGCUAUACACCAGCUUCCACAAGCCUUUUUCACUUUUGACCUCGGAUCAGGUAGGGAUACCCGCUGAACUUAAGCAUAUCAAUAAGCGGAGGA